AUGUGUGCAGUAAACGAUAUUAACUGUUUUUGAAAACCAAAUUCUGAUCUAUAUCCCGAUUUUAUGUUAUAAAAUAGAAAACACAAAAAUGGCAAAAAUGACGAUUUCUGCAUUUUGGGAAAUUUCUUUUCAAAAUCCCUAAAAUCAAAUCUUUUUCUUCUCAUUCUCUCUGCACUCCUUUCUACCUUUCGACUAAAGCAGAUCAUCCCUCUUCUGUCAACGGUCAACUCCAAGUUGGCGCACCUCCUAACUACACGCCCAGUCAACUACAACUCCUGAUUUACUCUCCUCUGCCAUAGCCACACACAAGGUUCAUUUGUUCCUGAUAAAGGAAAAGGCAAAAGCAAAAGGUUGAAGCAUAUUACACAUGGGUUCCACAUGGUAAAGGGAAAAAUCAAAGACGCCAUGGAAAGACUAAUUAUUAUUAUUAUUAUUAGAGAGGUAAACAUACAUAUAAUAAAAAAUGAUUUUGUUUUCAUAGUAUAUAUCAUUAGCAAAAAUAUUUGGAGCCUACUCUAUAUGUUCUUUCUCUCUUCUUUUUCUCUCUAGUCUUUAUAUAUGGAUUAUGGACAUUGAUGACAUUGGAACAGUUAAUUAUAAGCUUUAGCACAAAUUUGAGCUGAACUCUUUUGGGUCAUUUGUUUAUAAUGUACCGACUAAAAAAUCAUUAAGGCCUUGGUCUUUUGGAUCA